rnacentral:rRNA from 1 species
UACGUAGGGUGCGAGCGUUGUCCGGAAUUAUUGGGCGUAAAGAGCUUGUAGGCGGUCUGUCGCGUCUGCUGUGAAAAUCCGGGGCUCAACCCCGGACUUGCAGUGGGUACGGGCAGACUAGAGUGUGGUAGGGGAGACUGGAAUUCCUGGUGUAGCGGUGAAAUGCGCCAGAUAUCGGGAGGAACACCAGUAGCGAAGGCGGCACUCUGGGCCGGUACUGGA